CUCACCUGGUUGCUGUGACCACACUUCUUCUUGCGGCAGUUGACAGCCCUAGGGUGCAGGCGCGCAUAGCAUCUCUUACUUGCGGCAGAUCAUCUUGUCCUGGUUGUACUUGCGGGCAAGCGCCUGAAGCGACGGCUCGAUGAUACCGCCACGGAGCCUGAGGACGAGGUGGAGGGUGGACUCCUUCUGGAUGUUGUAGUCAGCCAGGGUGCGUCCGUCCUCCAGCUGCUUCCCGGCGAAGAUCAGCCGCUGCUGUGGGUGCGUACCCUCCUUGUCCUGGAUCUUAGCCUUGACAUUGUCGAUGGUGUCGCUGCUCUCCACCUCGAGGGUGAUGGUCUUCCCAGUCAGGGUCUUCACGAAGAUUUGCAUCUUGGCG
rnacentral:sRNA from 1 species